AGAUAACUGGGAUCGACCCGCCAACACUGCAGAGGGGAAGAAAACAGCUUUUAAUCUUGAGCUGUCUGCAACUGUUUACUUAUUUAGGAGGCAAAUCGUUACUGUGGUUGGUCUUAUGAGGACACUGCAGCUCAGACAGGAUAACAGAUUUAUUAUUAAAUGACUGUGAUUCACCGAGGAAGAUGCUGGCAGUGAGCAGGCCCAUGUCUGAAGAGCUCAGCAGCAGAUCACAGCGUGCUGUUGGCAGCAGAAAAGACACACAGAGAAUCUCCACGGCGUCGCUGGCAUUGGCCCAACCACACACCACCAGCAGCAGCCAGUGGAACAAACCAAAACCUGAGAGCGACAGCAGAACAGACACAGGCCAAGCAAAGCACCCCAGACAUCCCUCUCCACAGCAACACUUUCCAGCUCCUCCUGGGGGACCCCAAGGUGUUCCCAGGUCAGGUGAAAUAUAUAAUCCCUCCAGUGUGUUCUGGGUCUGCCCCAGGGCCUCCUGCCAGUGGGACGUGCCUUGAACAACUCUAACAGGAGGGGUCCAGGAGGAUUCUGAUCAGAUGCCCGAACCACCUCAACUGACCCCUUUCAAUGCGAAGGAGCAGUGGCUCUACUCUGUGCUCCCUCUGGAUGUCUGAGCUCUUUACCCUAUCUCUAAGGCUGAGCCCAGCCACCCCACGGAGGAAACUCAUUUCAGCCACUUGUAUUAUUAUCAUUAUUAUUAUUACCUCAACAUUGUACUUAGGUACAGUACUUAAGUAUGCAAUUACUUUCCACCACUUCCUGGAGCUGACGCUUGGAGGGAUCUUUUAAAGCCUGCACAAUAAUAUCGACACGUCAUCAGUAUCAGCCAAUAUCGACUUUAAAAUGAACUGAAUUGGCCAACUUGCUUUUUCUUAAUUUGCAAAAUAAAUGAAUAUUACAUAAA